GUGGGGAAUAUUGGACAAUGGGCGCAAGCCUGAUCCAGCAAUGCCGCGUGGGUGAAGAAGGCCUUCGGGUUGUAAAGCCCUUUUGUACGGGAAGAAAUCAUACGGGUUAAUACCCUGGGUGGAUGACGGUACCGUAAGAAUAAGCACCGGCUAACUUCGUGCCAGCAGCCGCGGUAAUACGAAGGGUGCAAGCGUUAAUCGGAAUUACUGGGCGUAAAGCGUGCGUAGGUGGUUGUUCAAGUCUGUCGUGAAAGCCCUGGGCUCAACCUGGGAAUGGCGAUGGAAACUGGGCGACUAGAGUGCGGUAGAGGAUGGCGGAAUUCCCGGUGUAGCGGUGAAAUGCGUAGAGAUCGGGAGGAACAUCCGUGGCGAAGGCGGCCAUCUGGACCAGCACUGACACUGAGGCACGAAAGCGUGGGGAGCAAACAGGAUUAGAUACCCGAGUAGUCC
rnacentral:rRNA from 1 species